rnacentral:misc_RNA from 1 species
GAACGCAUAUUGCGCCCGCCAGCACUCUGGCGGGCAUGCCUGUUCGAGCGUCAUUUCAACCCUCAAGUUUUAGUUACUUGGCGUUGGGGCACUGCGGCCUAACCUGCAGGCCCCCAAAUCUAGCGGCGGAUCCGCCGCGGCCCUGAGCGCAGUAACAUUACCGGUUGCCAUUGCCAUACAUUUAAAACGCUCCGGCGGCCGUGGCGCCUCUCGCCCAAGAGCACCACCCGUAAAGUGUAGAAACAAAGUUGACCUCGGAUCAGGUAGGACUACCCGCUGAACUUAAG